AGGACGAACGCUGGCGGCGCGCCUAAUACAUGCAAGUCGAGCGAGGUCCAUCAGGCUUGCCUGAGAAGACCUAGCGGCGAACGGGUGAGUAACACGUGAGGAACCUGCCCCGAAGACUGGGAUAACACCGGGAAACCGGUGCUAAUACCGGAUGCCCUCCCGGAUCACAUGGUCUGGUGAGGAAAGGAUUCUGCUUCGGGAUGGCCUCGCGGCCUAUCAGCUUGUUGGUGGGUAACGGCCUACCAAGGCAACGACGGGUAGCUGGUCUGAGAGGAUGUCCAGCCACACUGGGACUGAGACACGGCCCAGACUCCUACGGGAGGCAGCAGUAGGGAAUCUUGCGCAAUGGGCGCAAGCCUGAUCCAGCCAUGCCGCGUGUGUGAUGAAGGUCUUAGGAUUGUAAAGCACUUUCACCGGAGAAGAUAAUGACGGUAUCCGGAGAAGAAGCCCGGCUAACUUCGUGCCAGCAGCCGC
rnacentral:rRNA from 1 species